rnacentral:piRNA from 1 species
UGAGCCAUGAUUGUGCCACUGCACUCCAGC